CUCACAAGUUAUGGUUUAGUGACUAUAGGACACUGUCCAGUUUAGAAUCUCUUAGUAAAUUCAUUUCAGCAUCCUUUUGAACAACUUAGGAUAUAACUCUGCCUUCCUUGCCUCCUCCUUUGAACCACUCCUGCCGUCACAUUGGUUCCCUCGUUACUGAUUUUUGCCACGGGUUGAUUCUAUAUUUGUGUGUGAGUCAUGCCUUCAGCUUUUGGAAGAUUCACCUUUAAUGGGAUCCUUAGUGCUUUUGUUCAUUUCUUCCCUCCCGAGGAGGCGUGGCUUUCCCCAGGAGGCGUGGAUUUCCUCCUCGUUGGCUGUAACAGUCGCUUAUCUUGAUACCUGCAGGGAAAAGGAAAGAGAUCUCCACGUUAACAGAUUCUUAACUGGCUGGUGUGAAGAGUCAUUCCAAGGUAAGCUAAGCUCAGAUAUUUGCUAAAUUGAUUAUGGCUGUUGUUUUUCAUAGUCAAGAAAGUCAGUUUUUGGAAAAGGACAUCGCCACCACAAAAUCAUAUUUUCAAAGAAAAUGCUGGUGCUUUCUUCAUAGUUGGCAUGGUCAUCUGAUAUUUUGUUAUGGUUUAUCUGUUUGUUCAUUUUGGGUCUCCCCAUCAGAAUAUAAGCUCCCUGAGGUCAUGGUCUUGUUUAUUUAGUUCGAGGCUCUAUCUUCACUGACUCCAAGAAUGCUGACACAUG
rnacentral:lncRNA from 1 species